rnacentral:rRNA from 1 species
UACGUAGGGGGCGAGCGUUGUCCGGAUUUAUUGGGCGUAAAGAGCGUGUAGGCGGCUUUACAGGUCCGUUGUGAAAACUCGAGGCUCAACCUCGAGACGCCGGUGGAAACCGUAAAGCUAGAGUCCGGAAGAGGAGAGUGGAAUUCCUGGUGUAGCGGUGAAAUGCGCAGAUAUCAGGAAGAACACCCGUGGCGAAGGCGGCUCUCUGGGACGGUACUGACGCUGAGACGCGAAAGCGUGGGGAGCGAACAGG